GACGAACGCUGGCGGCGUGCUUAACACAUGCAAGUCGAACGGAAAGGCCCUGCUUUUGUGGGGUGCUCGAGUGGCGAACGGGUGAGUAACACGUGAGUAACCUGCCCUUGACUUUGGGAUAACUUCAGGAAACUGGGGCUAAUACCGGAUAGGAGCUCCUGCUGCAUGGUGGGGGUUGGAAAGUUUCGGCGGUUGGGGAUGGACUCGCGGCUUAUCAGCUUGUUGGUGGGGUAGUGGCUUACCAAGGCUUUGACGGGUAGCCGGCCUGAGAGGGUGACCGGGCACAUUGGGGCUGAGAUACGGCCCAGACUCCUACGGGAGGCAGCAGUGGGGAAUAUUGCACAAUGGGCGGAAGCCUGAUGCAGCAACGCCGCGUGCGGGAUGACGGCCUUCGGGUUGUAAACCGCUUUCGCCUGUGACGAAGCGUGAGUGACGGUAAUGGGUAAAGAAGCACCGGCUAACUACGUG
rnacentral:rRNA from 1 species